rnacentral:rRNA from 1 species
GGAUUAGAUACCCUGGUAGUCCACGCCCUAAACGAUGUCUACUAGUUGUCGGGUUUUAAUUAACUUGGUAACGCAGCUAACGCGUGAAGUAGACCGCCUGGGGAGUACGGUCGCAAGAUUAAAACUCAAAGGAAUUGACGGGGACCCGCACAAGCGGUGGAUGAUGUGGAUUAAUUCGAUGCAACGCGAAAAACCUUACCUACCCUUGACAUGGAAGGAAUCCUGGAGAGAUCUGGGAGUGCCCGAAAGGGAACCUUCACACAGGUGCUGCAUGGCUGUCGUCAGCUCGUGUCG